UGCGGGUAGGCGGAAGUUGUCAGGGCAAGCGAGAGGGGAAAUGUUUGUUUGCUGCCCGAGGUGGCUUUCGUGCGCUUUUCUUCUAAAAUAUCGCCGCGACAACCUGAUGACUUCAAUGCUUCCUUGUUAACCUUGCAGAGCCGACUGAAAAGCGGAGUUGCUCACGAUUUAGCAUUAGCUGCCCCUCCAGUUUGUACGGGCCCUGCAUUUAAUUGAUGAUGGAAGGAAAGGCUCCGAACACGUUUGAACUCAACCCAAGUCAGUGGCGAUUCCUGCCGGCUGCUCUGUCACAACUGGAGGAGGCUCUCACGGUCGCCCAAACGCAAAGGCAGUUGGCAGCCGACGCAUCUUCUUUGUUAGCCCCUAGCUAGGCUAGGCUAAACUAAGCCAGGGCCGAGAAUUGUGAACGUGGACGGACGAGAGUUUAACCGCACACGCAUCGGAUGGGGGAUGUUUUGCUCCAAUAUGGUAGCGGGCCACGCAGUGUACCCAGGCUUCGUGGUUUACUACACAAAGCGGAGAAGUAUUAUUUAAUCAAGUGCGAGCAGUGAGCACAAGUUGCGACAGCUACAACAAAUGGCGUGCCUACGGUAACUGAGAAGGCUCAAUUCAAAUAGAACCAAGCGCGUUCUUGCCAAGUUUCCUUGUUUUGACUGAUAUUGACUUUCAAUCUUUAGCGAUAACUUUAAAUGACUUUCUAGUAUAUGGUUAAUGUAAUAUGGAAACAAUCCAGCGUGUUGUAUGAAAACAUGAGGGGAGUUUUGAAUCAUUAUUAAAAGUGCAGUGGCGACACA